UCUGUGGUAGCUCAGAGAUAGAGCCCCAAUCGGUAAUGGAUACGUCGCGGGUUCGAUUCCCGUUCGCGGAG
rnacentral:tRNA from 1 species